rnacentral:rRNA from 1 species
GCACUCCGCCUGGGGAGUACGGCCGCAAGGCUGAAACUCAAAGGAAUUGACGGGGGCCCGCACAAGCGGUGGAGCAUGUGGUUUAAUUCGAAGCAACGCGAAGAACCUUACCAGGUCUUGACAUCCCGCUGCCCGGUGUAGAGAUACGCCUUUCCCUUCGGGGACAGCGGUGACAGGUGGUGCAUGGUUGUCGUCAGCUCGUGUCGUGAGAUGUUGGGUUAAGUCCCGCAACGAGCGCAACCCUUGAUCUUAGUUGCCAGCAUUCAGUUGGGCACUCUAAGGUGACUGCCGGUGACAAACCGGAGGAAGGUGGGGAUGACGUCAAAUCAUCAUGCCCCUUAUGACCUGGGCUACACACGUGCUACAAUGGACGGUACAAAGGGUUGCCAACCCGCGAGGGGGAGCCAAUCCCAGAAAACCGUUCUCAGUUCGGAUUGCAGGCUGCAACUCGCCUGCAUGAAGCCGGAAUCGCUAGUAAUCGUGGAUCAGCAUGCCACGGUGAAUACGUUCCCGGGCCUUGUACACACCGCCCGUCACACCACGAGAGUUUGUAACACCCGAAGUCGGUGAGGUAACCCUUGUGGAGCCAAGCCCC